UCAAACUCACAGAGAUCUACCUGUGUCUGCUUCCCAAGUGCUGGGAUUAAAUGCAUAAACCACUACUGUUGGGCUCUGUCAAGUAGCUUCUUAUUAGUGGUUAUAAAUGGGUACUCUGGUCUUAGUCUACAGUGUUUGACCCCACUGCCUAUACUCCUGUUUCUGUGUUCCUCAGAAAGUUUCUCAAUCAGUCCGGGAUUCUGUUUUCCCAACUGUAAAACGGAAGUGGGGUUUGACUUUCUUCACAUUGGGCACAUAGGUAGAGAACAUUGCCUGCACCUUGAGGAGAUAACCUUUUGGAUAAUCCUCCUGUGGUUAAGCAAACUUCAGAUGGGGAAGCCUUCCUUGCUUUGGUAAUUCUCAUGCCUAGCCAGUCAAACCCUGUUCAGUGGGUGUGGCUUGUUCUUCGAAGAUGGGCCUCCAGACUCUACAAAGUGAAGCGAGCAAUCCCUCCUGGAUACUCACCUCUGGGCAAUGUCAGCAGCCUUGGAAAGGGUGUCACAGGAAGGCCUUGGAAACCACAUCUGUAAUGCUCUCUGACCUCUUCAGAGAGAAUUGAAGGGAGAGAAAAGAAUCUGCAGGCCAGAAAUAGCUAGACAUAAAUACAAGGUAUUAUAAUUACUAUCCACACCCAGCACAGUCCCCAGAGUUAAGUUUAACUCUUGGCACAGUCUUCUAACCCCAGAGAAGCAGGAUGGCAAGGGUGUCUGGGAAGAGAGUAGGGGUGCCCUGAGGGGGAGGUAGCUUGUACCCAAGGCUACAUGUGAGGUGCCACUCUACAGGCCACCGUAGAUCCAAAAUGGUGCUUUCUCUUAGCAUGUACCCAUUACAGCUAUUUCUGUUACAGCUUCUUGGUUUUGCUCAACCAUUACUUUUUUGAACACAAGCCUGUCAGAUUUCCCCCACAACUUGGCACCUAGCUCAAGGUUUCUUUUUUAUCCUGUUCUCUAUAAUUGUAUUUUACAUCAAUUGCUCAGUAGUUACAUCUGUGCAGACGCUUAUGAACAUGCACGCCAGGGGCGGAGAUUGGAGAGACAUGAUUAGCCUAGACUUGUUUGGUUUGGUUUUGUGUUUUCUCCCCACCAAGGUAUUCUGGGAAAUACUCAGGACUAGAACUAGGUUGUUGGUCAGACAGAGAAAUCUAAUGCUAUUUGUGUGGACUGAGAAUCCAUAAUCUGAAAUCCCACAGGCCAAAACAUUGGGGGUUGACAUGAGAGCACUUGUGAAAUAUAGCACACCUGACUGUAUGGGGUGGAUUACAGUGAAGAUACAGGUGCACUUAGGGAAAAAAAAGCCAGGUUAACUUUAAGCUAUAUGCACUCAUUUAAAGAAAACAAAAAGGAACUGUGUAUUUAGACUUGGGUUCUACCAUCAAAAUACCCACUCACCAAAACAUUCAAAAAGAGCAAAAUCCGAAGUGAAAACCGCUUCUGCCACCAAGUGUUUUCGGUUUUGUUUUUCCUUUCGGGCAGGACUGGGGACCUCGUGUGUGAGGCUAGAACUCUGAGGCACAGCAGCAGCAGCCUCCAAACAUUUUGCAUGAGGCAUAUUUAAACUGCAUUUUAUAGGUCUUCAGAUCAGGGGUUUGGUGAGUCAAAUGCAAAGCUAUUCAGAAGAAAACAAGCCAGAUCUCCAGUGCGUGUCUCAUGGAUAUUUUCCAUCUUGAUUACAAAUGUCAGCUUGCAGAGACCCAGCAGUGGGCUGAGUUUGCUUAGCAUCUAUUCCCUCCCACUUGAGCAUAUUUUAUGAGACUUCCAGGAAGCUGCACAGGGCCAUUUCUGUUCCUGGUGGGGGUUUAGAUACUACUGACUGCUCGGAGAGCCACAGUGAUGGCCGGAGCAUCGUUGAUUGACACAGUGUGUCCACUUGCUUUGGGAGGGGGACAUUGUCUCUGCUCCUCCUGUUUGUUAAGAAUACCCAGUCCUUUGGAGACUAAUGGAAAAGACACCAUUAUUUUUGUUCCUUUUGUAUUUCUAUUUCUCUCUGGUGGAAACUUCACAGAAGACAACGGUUUUGGGUGGGAAUUGUAUUGAAAGAUCAAAAAGUGUUUCCGUGAGAGAGACUUGUGGAUGUGUUUCUGGCUCCCAGCAAUGCAGGGAGGGCACACAGUCUCAGUCUAGAACAGAAACAUCUACAAAAUAAAAGCAGGUAGAGUGUCACCAGUUGCCAGUACAGGCGUUGGAAGGUCCCGUGCUCAUGGCGGUCCUGAGGUGUCUUCGGCUGCUGGCCAAUGUCCAGCCACAUGUGAUGUUAGGAGGUCUUGUGGAAGUUAUUCAGACCAAAGUGAGGCCUUGAAGCCUGCUUCUGAACCAGGAGCUUUCAUUGCCAGCCCACUCCUGCAGUGUUUGGCUGUUUUCCUGCAAGGCAUCCCCAUAGACUGAAAACCUGUAGUUUGCUGUUUUGUGUAGAGUAGGGUUUCCAGACCGGUGCUAUCUUGCCUGUCUCCUUCGAGCAGUGUGCUGUCUUCUAGACGUGCUUCUGGCAACGCUGGUAGGGAUAUCUCAUUUCCUCACUUACUUAAGGUAAUGAGGCUCAAGGUGCUUCUCUUCAUGUGGACUUUUAUGAUCUUCUCCGUGGAAAUUAGACUUUCCCAUUCCUUCCAGAAUUGGAGAAGAAAUUUAUUACCAAAGGUUCAGGUGUAUUCUAUAGUAACCCUUUUGCCAGACAGGCCCACUACCUUACUGCCGAUCUCUUUACUUAGGACUCAUCUGCACCUGUUUCUUUUUCUCCAGUCCCUGUUGAGUUGGACUGGACGAGUCAAGCAUUUAGAGGUAGAGUGCUUCCCAGUUGCCCACCACAGCCAUCACAAUGGAUUGUUUGUUUGUUUGUUUGUUUGUUUGUUUCGAGACAGGGUUUCUCUGUGUAAACUUGUCCUGGAUCUCACUCUGUAGACCAGACUGGCCUUGAAUUCAGAGAUCCACCUGCCUCUGCCUCCCAAGUGCUGGGAUUAAAGGCAUGCGCCACCACUGCCUGGCUCACAAUGGUAUUUUAUCUGUUCUCCCUGGAAGGACAGGAUGUGGAGAGACAGGUAGAGAUGAUGUGUCCAGAAGGGACGAAGGAGGAAAAGCUGGGCUCAGCAGCACUGGCUCAUUUGCUCUUACAUCAGCUGUGGCCAGCAUGGCUGCCUUCUGUCUCACGUUCCAUGGCCAAACAAUUCAUUUUAAAGUGCUUCCUAUUAACUGAAAAGG
rnacentral:lncRNA from 1 species